ensembl:lncRNA
CAAAACGCAGAUUCCUGCAGAAGGUGUUUCCCGCAGACACCAGGGUUUAACAUCACCGAGUCGGUCUGGGAAGGAAGUCCUGGAAACUUCAUUAACUUGGAAACACACCGAAGAGAAUUGGGGAUUUCUAUUAAAGGUGAACGAGGAGACUGUGGAGAGGCUGGUGGUCCAGUAUCCUCACAUUGUGUUCAGCACAGUGAUGCAGGACUGCAAGAGAACCCUGGAGAGAGCUUAUCAAAUGGGCUGGAGCCCCAACACAUCGAACUCUUCGUAGCUACUGCCAGCUCACACUCAUGCGUACUUCCACCGAGACACACACACACACACACACACACACACACACACACACACACACACACACACCACAUGUGCAGCUCGGUCAUCUUUGCUGGUCAUUCAGACGUGCAUGUGAACAUGUAGCUACAAAAGUCCAGGACAAUCUUUAUUAUUUGGGCAUUUUGCCAUCAUUUCCUGUCAAGUUCUCUUUCGUCAUCUUGGAGUAAAAAAAAAUGGAUGCAAGAGGAAAAGUUUCACUGAAAGAACAUGUUGCAUCAAAUAUAAUUAGCCAUAGUUAAACAGCAAUGAUGUUGAAAGGCGAUAGAGUAAAGGCUUGUCUUUGCCCGGGUAAGUCCACGCCGACCGCGUCAGCCCGUCAGGAUGCCGGGUCACCUGCUGCAGUCCGAUCGCACAGGAAGGAGCAGAGUCAUGAAGAGAUUAUCUGCAUCGUCUUCGGUCCACAAAUGAACUUGAACUUUCAGGGCUUCAGACCUCACUUGAGGCAUUUUUUUUAGAUUUCUGUUUUUAUGGAUCACUUUGUCCUAUCUUCUCUUGGACUUCAGUGCAGUGUUAAAGGUGUUUGUGAACUUGGUGAGGAUGUUGAUGGCGUUUCAUGUGAAGGACACAAAUGUUUUGUCUCGACUCACUAGGCAGAGAGACGGCUGGUUUUAGGCUGGAGGGGAAAUGGUUUGAGUCGAUUUUAAAGGCGGAUGUUUACAGUGAGAAUCAGCUUUCGAGUGUUUAAAGAUUCGCGUGACCCGACUCCAUGCUGGUGUUUCACCGACGGAGCAUCACUUGGAGUGACUUUUGGUAUGAAUUUAGUCUGUGCUUGAAAUAGAAGCGGUAUUUACCCCAAAUCUUUGGGUCAUAUUAUCAGAUCAUUAACCAGAAACGAGCUGAGAGUGGUUUAGACGAAGCAUUAAGUGGCUAGUAGUUCCUGUCUGAUUAGAAAGGAAAUCUAAUAAAGAAAUGUUUAUCAAAUGUGAGCUUUUAUGAAAGUAUUUAGCCUUCUUUUGGUUUUGAGCAUACACAAUUUACUAUUAGCUGUGUUGUUUUGCAACAAUCGUUGUAUCCUCCUUAGGCCGUAUCCUUAGUAACCACGUCGUUUUGAGAACACUUUCUGCACUCGCACACGAUCCUCCUCACUUUGCAUCCAUUUUAAUUCGUUAUUUUUAUUAAUUUCUUUAAAUAAACUGAUCUUUCUGCUGGUGUUAAAGGCCUGUUACAGUUUCUGUGCUUGCUCACAGAAGAACAAUGUGGGCCUUCUUUGCAGAAAUGAUCUGAAUGCACAAAAAUGCAGCAGCUAUAUUGGGUUCUACUGGUAAAGGAUGCAAAUUAAAGCUAAGCUUGAACAGAGUUUGUGGAUGAAGUAGAUCAUUUUUCUUCUGUUCUGCAGAAAUCCAGUGUAAAAACGCAAACAUCCAGGGUAUUUUUCUAUGGACUGAACCUCCACCCACUGAUCAGAACAACACUUACCUGAGCCAGACAUGGUGUAGAUGUGUAAACUUUGAUAUCUCACACAGAUUUCAUAUGAAUAAAACACUCAUUUGACCCUGUCAGGAUUUGUAGACUUAUUUUCCUGAAGGAGACGUUCUCCUUCUCCUUGCUUCUGAUCUUUUGUAAUCCCUGUAGACUCCUCCUUUUCUGCUAGAUGUUGACAGAUUUGAUUUCUAAUUUGCAAAAGGCAACCACGAACGACUGAAUUUACAUAAUGAUGAAUAAAAACACUACAACUUAAAGAAGUUUCUACUCCGUCAUUCAUUGGUUUGUUUUUCUCCCUUUCAGAGUUUUAAGAAGUUUAACGUUUGUUUCGUUCUAACUUGUAGAGCAUCAUAAGAAGAAUACAGAAAUAAAGGCGUUUUCCAUCAAUGACAUACAUUUGUUACGCUUUUCUGCCGAGCGCUGUGACGUGAGGUCAACCCGAACGUCCAUUAGAAGACACCCGGAGGGCAGGACUAUUUACGAUCGCAGGAGUUCCACAUCUGAGAGACAAAGAGAGGAGACGUCAGCCGGGCUGCAAAGGCCUCAAAGAGCUAACAAGCCGUCACUCAGCGUGUCCCCCUGUCUUCGGCAGCGCUGUCCCUUUCAAGUGCCUUUUUCACCGUUCAGUGUAUUUGGAUUGUUUUAUGUCUGGCGAUCAAACAUGGCUGAUGGCAUCAAACAGGUAACGAGGGGUCGGUUCCUCCCAGAUUGAUUCUUUAUGUUGUUGACACAGUUUUUGUCAAUUUGAGGCUGGGCUUGUUUGUGCUGAAGGGGAAUUUUAAAUCUUAAUCAAAACUCUUGAGUCCUGGUGAAAAGAAAAUCUUUAAGGCUUGUAAUUAAAACCUGCUGGAUGUGGCUGGACUGCAGAUGAGAAACCUGGGUUCAUUUAUUUUAUUUAUCAGAAAACAGAGAUGGAAAAGACUCGUUUUCUUUUUUUUAACAACUCAACUGUCGUGGAAGCUCUAAUUGAAUUUUAUGAUGAAUUUUGUUAUUGAUUAGAAUCCCUUGGCGAGCAUUUUAAAGGGACUUUUCGGACUUUUGAAUUUUUAUGCUCGCGAUUGCCCCCUCAGGCCAAAAGCGUCACGGCAGCUUCAAUAGUAGGCCGUGCACGAGGUGCGCAUGCUGUACGUGCACACUCCUUAACGAAAACAACAGCUGAGAUAGUCGUGUGUGUGUGUGUGUGUGUGUGUGUGUGUGGGUGUGUGUGUGUGUG